rnacentral:rRNA from 1 species
UACGGGAGGUGCAAGCGUUGUUCGGAAUGACUGGGCGUAAAGCGCACGUAGGCGGGUCCUUAAGUCGCAUGUGAAAGCCCCGGGCUUAACCUGGGAAUUGCAUACGAAACUGUGGAUCUUGAAUGCCUGAGAGGUUGAUGGAAUUCUUGGUGUAGGAGUGAAAUCCGUAGAUAUCAAGAGGAACACCGGAGGCGAAGGCGGUCAACUGGUGGUGCAUUGACGCUGAGGUGCGAAAGCGUGGGUAGCAAACAGG